rnacentral:rRNA from 1 species
GACAGAGGGUGCAAACGUUGUUCGGAAUUACUGGGCGUAAAGCGCGCGCAGGCGGCCUUGCAAGUCGGGCGUGAAAUCCCACGGCUCAACCGUGGAAGUGCACUCGAAACUGCGAGGCUAGAGUCUUGGAGAGGAAGGCGGAAUGCUUGGUGUAGAGGUGAAAUUCGUAGAUAUCUGGAGGAACACCGGUGGCGAAGGCGGCGUUCUGGACUGCAACUGACACUGAGGAACGAAAGCCAGGGGAGCAAACGGG